GGUAGAAUAGCUCAGUUGGUUAGAGCAUCAGAGAGUAACUCUGAGGUCGCCAGUUCGAUUCCGGCUUCACCA